CAAAUAUCAUCUGGCCUCAAGUCAGCACGCGCAGAAUGGCACAGUCUCCCUUACGGCGACCUGGUAAAGGUAGCAAAAGGAGCAGAAGCAUAUAGAGGCCCUGAAGAUAAAACCUUCCACAUUAUAUCAGUUCAGGGCUACCAAAGAAGAGGUGCCUUUAGAGGCGCCCCGCGAGGCAGGGGUAGAGAAGGGUUUAACCAAGGCGGCAGGGGUAGAUUCCAAGUGAGGUGUG